AGCAGUCGCCGCGGUAAUACGUAUGUCGCGAGCGUUAUCCGGAAUUAUUGGGCAUAAAGGGCAUCUAGGCGGCCUGACAAGUCAGGGGUGAAAACCUGCGGCUCAACCGCAGGCCUGCCUUUGAAACUGUGAGGCUGGAGUACCGGAGAGGUGGACGGAACUGCACGAGUAGAGGUGAAAUUCGUAGAUAUGUGCAGGAACGCCGAUGAUGAAGAUAGUUCACUGGACGGUAACUGACGCUGAAGUGCGAAAGCCGGGGGAGCGAACAGGAUUAGAUACCCGCGUAGUCCCUGUCUCUUAUAC
rnacentral:rRNA from 1 species